rnacentral:rRNA from 1 species
UACGUAGGGUGCGAGCGUUGUCCGGAAUUACUGGGCGUAAAGAGCUCGUAGGUGGUUUGUCGCGUUGUUCGUGAAAACUCACAGCUUAACUGUGGGCGUGCGGGCGAUACGGGCAGACUGGAGUACUGCAGGGGAGACUGGAAUUCCUGGUGUAGCGGUGAAAUGCGCAGAUAUCAGGAGGAACACCGGUGGCGAAGGCGGGUCUCUGGGCAGUAACUGACGCUGAGGAGCGAAAGCGUGGGUAGCAAACAGG